rnacentral:tRNA from 1 species
UAUUAAGUGGCUGAAAAUAAAAGCACUAGAUUUUUAAUCUAGAUAAUGAUUUAUAUAAAUCCUUAAUAA